CCGGCGCACGGGUGAGUAACACGUAUCCAACCUGCCGUCUACUCUUGGACAGCCUUCUGAAAGGAAGAUUAAUACAAGAUGGCAUCAUGAGUUCACAUGUUCACAUGAUUAAAGGUAUUCCGGUAGACGAUGGGGAUGCGUUCCAUUAGAUAGUAGGCGGGGUAACGGCCCACCUAGUCUUCGAUGGAUAGGGGUUCUGAGAGGAAGGUCCCCCACCAUUGGAACUGAGACACGGUCCAAACUCCUACGGGAGGCAGCAG
rnacentral:rRNA from 1 species